rnacentral:rRNA from 1 species
AACGAACGCUGGCGGCAGGCUUAACACAUGCAAGUCGAGCGCCCCGCAAGGGGAGCGGCGGACGGGUGAGUAACACGUGGGAACAUGCCCUUUGGUUCGGAACAACUCAGGGAAACUUGAGCUAAUACCGAAUGUGCCGGUAACGGGAAAGAUUUAUCGCCAAGGGAUUGGCCCGCGUCCGAUUAGCUAGUUGGUGAGGUAAAGGCUCACCAAGGCUCCGAUCGGUAGCUGGUUUGAGAGAACGACCAGCCACACUGGGACUGAGACACGGCCCAGACUCCUACGGGAGGCAGCGGUGGGGAAUCUUGGACAAUGGGGGAAACCCUGAUCCAGCCAUGCCGCGUGAGUGAUGAAGGCCUUCGGGUUGUAAAACUCUUUCGACGGGGACGAUAAUGACGGUACCCGUAGAAGAAGCUCCGGCUAACUUCGUGCCAGCAGCCGCGGUAAUACGAAGGGGGCUAGCGUUGUUCGGAAUUACUGGGCGUAAAGCGCGCGCAGGCGGCUCUUCAAGUCAGGGGUGAAAGCUCAGAGCUCAACUCUGGAACUGCCUUUGAAACUGUGG